rnacentral:rRNA from 1 species
GGUAGUGUAGUUAACACCUGCAUUAUUUGACGUUACCUACAGAAGAAGCACCGGCUAACUCCGUGCCAGCAGCCGCGGUAAUACGGAGGGUGCGAGCGUUAAUCGGAAUUACUGGGCGUAAAGCGCAUGCAGGCGGCCUGUUAAGUCAGAUGUGAAAGACCCGGGGCGUUAACCUCGGAAUUGCAUUUGAAACUGGCAGGCUAGAGUCUUGUAGAGGGGGGUAGGAAUUUCAGGUGUAGCGGUGAAAUGCGUAGAGAUCUGAAGGAAUACCAGUGGCGAAGGCGGCCCCCCUCGGACAAAGACUGACGCUCAGAUGCGAAAGCGUGGGGAGCAAACAGGAUUAGAUACCCUGGUAG